GCCGGGGUGGCGAAAUGGUAAACGCAGAGGAUUCAAAACCCUCCGCCGCAAGGCUUGAGAGUUCAAGUCUCUCCCCCGGCA
rnacentral:tRNA from 1 species